rnacentral:lncRNA from 1 species
UUUUUCACAUUUUCUUUCUUUAGUUUGUUUCUAUGAUUCAGUUAAUUUUUAAGUAAGGGUGGCCAUGUGGCGCCAUCCCAUUGGUCUUUGGUUGGAAGUUUUUGUUUUGGUCAUUUUUACUUUCUCUGAAUAUGAUGAGCAAGGGAGACGUUGUCCCCAUUUAAGUUUUUUUCUUUUUUCUUUUUUCUUUUUAUUUUUUUAUUAUUAUUUAAAUGUUUUAG